rnacentral:lncRNA from 1 species
AUUAGCUUUAACGGUUCAUUUUUAAACAUACGAUCAUUUGUAGCCGUUUGACCAUUCUGUGGAAAGUGCGUACAUGCGAACUACUUUGUUUACGUUUUCCAAGUUGGCGGCCGCCAGGGUACAAACCAUGCAGGUAUGCUUUUUACUUAUAUUAAACGAUAUAAUUAUUUUAAAUCAAUGUAUAUGACAGAAUUCAAUUGCAUAGGUGUCAGGUCUGAUCGCUGGUGGACAAUAAACAAAAUUGCCGUUUCUUGGAAGGAGAAAUAACAGAAAUUUAAAAAAAGGGGGAAGGGGUACUUAAAAAAAAAAGGUAUCACACUUUAUUCUAGCUGCAGUACCUUACUGUGGCAUGCAUAAAUUUAUUCUCAUAGACAAAAAAUAGUGUUUGCUGAAUAUAAAAGAUGGUAGGAUCACUCCUCCCCCCCCCCCCCCAAAAAAAAAAAAACCACUGCAUUAUCAUUAUUGUGUGGCAUUAGCAUGAUCAAGGAUUUGUACUAUACAAAUCCUCAGUAAGUAAGUAAGUAAGUAAAACUUUAUUUGAAUUCAGCAUAUUGACAAACAGUACAAACAUAUGCUCUAAUGAGCUUUUCACCGAAUAUAAAAACAUAUGCAAUAAAAAAUAAAACAAGGCAUGCGGCAUGCAAAAUAAAUUAUAAAAAGCAGCACCAAAAAUUAGCUCUAAGCAAUAGCAUAUACAUGUAUCUGCUAUCUGAGACUACUAAUAUGAGGCAGGCAUAACCUGUGAAUGGGGACGAAGUCUGUAUGUAUUAUUUUUUUUACGUUUUUUUCAAAUCAAACAAUUAUUAAAAAUUGAAUUUGUAUUGAGAUCCAAUCUUAUAUUUUACUAGACUGAUAAAUAUAAAUUUUUUCAAAGUCUCAUGCAAACAAGACAGAUAUCUGCGCAAAAGCGGAGAAAACCGGAACAGGAAGUAGAUCUGAAAAAAAAGUUAACGAUUUUGAGUUCAUUAGUAGAAUGAAAAAUUCGGGAAAUUUUCCCGAUUUUUUUUUUUUUUUUAUUGAUUUUUCUACCGUAAGGGGAUUCGUCCCAUAUAAACGACCAAAAAAAGAUAAACAGCACAUUACGUAAAGCAUUAAGUAAUAGAGGCAGGCAUACCACCUGUGAUGGGGACGAAGUCUGUAUGUAUUAUUUCUUACCUCAAACAUUGUUAAUAAGGAAACGGAAAUACGGUAACGUUCCGUUUCGUUCUGUGGUAGGGAUUUAGCUGUGACGUUGUUUAAAUUAUGACGUCAUAUUCAAUGUAAACAAAAUAAACGCUUCCAUCAGGUAACGUUUUUUUCAAAUCAAACAAUUAUUAAAAAUGAAAUUGUAUUGAGUUCCAAUCUUAUAUUUUACUAGACUGAUACAUAUAAUUUUCUUUUAAAGCUCAUGCAACAGAGACAAAUUUCUGCGCAAAUGCGGGAAACCGGAACAGGAACUAGAUCUGAAAAAAAGUUAACGAUUUUGAGUUCAUUAGUAAAUGAAAAAUUCGGGAAAUUUUCCCGAUUUUUUUUUUUUUUUUUUUUUUUUGAUUUUUCUACCGUAAUUGGGGACUUCGUCCCCAUAUAACAUGUGUUAUAGUAGUCUCAGCUGCUAUUGAAAGCUGCAUGCAUGAUUAGGAAUCAAAUAGUAGCAUCAAGGUUACCUAUGAAUAUGGUGUCAUUUUUAUUUGUACAUGUAUCAUGAAAAGAAAAAUCUACUUCACAGGUUGUGAAACACUAGUAUUAUUAUAUAUUUUCUCUGUGUCUAUAAUUUCUAAACAAUUAAAACAUUUAUAAGCUGGAGUAUAUAUCAGUAGCACUCAAGAAUGUGUCCACUCCUUAAAAGGAAGAUAGAUAGAUAAUAGGCUGCAAAUACUAAGUUAUGUUCAAAUGCCAGAAUCAUGUAUUUUAAUUUACAAAAAUGUACAAGUACAAUGCAUAAUCACCCAUUUUUUUUACAAUGUACACAAAAUGUACAUGUACAUUCCAUUUAUCGGUUGGAUCAUCUAGCUACUAAUGGCUAGUUUACAGAAAACCAGGCAUAUAUAAUACUGUUAUAUUCCUUUAACCAUAUAUUAUAUGAUUAUAUUAUAUAUAUUUUUAAUUUUUGUGUUUUUGUUGAAUUUAUGCUAUUUUGGUGUCCUUGUCUUCAAUUUUCCCCCCUUUAAGACUUGCAUGUGUAGGCUGAAGGUAAAGACACAGAAGAGUGCAGGGGGAAAUCAUGAUCAGUACCCCUCUUUAGUUGACUAGCUGUAUAUUUUAAAAUAUAUAGUGCUGAUUCUGAUGAUAGAUAAUUAUUUUUUUAGGUUUCUUGUACUAAGUAACAGAUUAUCAUGACACUGUCAUAACAUGAGGUGCCAGGACAGACAGGAGAUGUGAGAAGUAGCAGUUUUAAAAAUUUAUCGCGGGAAAUGUUAAUUUCAAUAGUAUUUUAUCUUUUGGUAAGUUUUAGAUAGUCUUACAUGUAUAUAUAAAAUAAUUAGAAUUUUGAAUGGGGUUAAAUGAUUAAAGAAUAAUGCCCUUAAAAAUGAAGAUUAGAGAAUAACGGGCAAAAAAAAAUGAAAAUUAGAGAAAAAAGGGGUUAAUUUUUUGAAGAUUAGAGAAAAAAGGUGUAAAUUUUUUGAAGAUUAGAGAAAAAAAGGGGUGAAAAUUAAAUGUUUACAGAAUAACAGAACCCCCCCCCCCCCAAAUCCGGACCCUCAUACAUACAUACAUACAUGUAUACUACAUAUAGAACAUCAUUUUUUUUUUCAAAAAUAGGACAAGUGAAUUCAUAUUCAGUCUUCACGCCGAGUGGCAGCCCAGGCUGGUAAAAUUGCUCUCGGGCCUGUUAAAAUUAGACCUACAGGCCAACAGAAUCUAACUAAAAAUUUUCAAAAAUUGAGCUGCGGGCCUGUAGAUUUAGCAGUUCAGCGUGAAGACUGCAUAUUUAAAGUGUAAAUUAAGUUUUUAGUUUGAAAAAAUAACAUUUAAUGAAAAAACUAAGGUCAUAUAUAAAUGUAAAAUACUGCAAUCUUUUGAAACAGAUAAAAUAAUGUGAAAUGGCAAUUUUACAUGUAGACCAUGAAAUAUAGUCCUCAUUAAAACUGAUUAUUUCUGUAAUAUGCUAGAAAUAUAAGUAGGGUCAAACAACCCUACUUUUGUACUUGAAUGUCGGUUUGAUGGUAAACUAAUGUGCAAUUUUAUAUGACUGUAAAUGAGAAAUCAGCUAUAUUUUGAUUAUUUUUUGUCCAAAAUAGUCAAUAUUUAGAGAGUGUGUUCGGAGUUCCAAAAAAACAUAUUCUAAGUAUGAAAAUAAACAGUUUUUCUAAGACUUGCUGAUCUUACUCUUUCAUUCAUAUUAUUACAUUCAAUUUUGGCAAAAAAUGACAAACUAUAGCAAAUUUAUAGCAACUCACCAAAAUUUUGAUCAUAUUGUAAAUUAGUUCAAUACACUGUUUCAUAAGGUUUUCAUCAUCAUGUAAAUAUUGAAAUCUGUCACUAAUCCUGUGUAUUCUUCAAAUAUCUAUAAAUUGUGAUUUUUCUUUUCUUGAUUUGAAGUUGGAGAGAAUUGGAGAUUUGAGCCACUAUAAACAUACAUGUAUAAUAUCACUGUACUAGUAUACAUGUUUUUUAAGGGGCCGGCUGGACACCGCCUCCUGGUGUGGGAGUUUCUUGCUACAUUGAAGACCCAUUGGUGUACGUUGUCUGCUCUAUGGUCUGGUUGUUGUCGCUUUGACACAUUCCCCAUUUCCUUUCUUAAUUUUAUGUAUAAAAUAUAUCUCUGCAUAUCUGAAGCCCCAGAGUAGUAAAUUUCUUUUGGACUAGUAAGUUGUUUGAACCAAUAAGAAAAAUGUCAGAAUAUUGGUCUUUGGACUAGUAGUUGAGAAAAGAUUUUGGUGCAGACUGUAUAUAUAUCACAUUUCCUUUAUCAAAAGUUUUUUUCAAGCAGAAAAAAUGAAUGGGUUGAAGAAAAAUUAUUGAAAGCUACAUUUGUCAAAAUUAAAUAUUUGCGGAAAAUAUGCUCUUUUUAGUGGCCUCCUCUCAUGCUUGUUUCUAGCUAUAAAUUGCACUUAUCAAAGACUUAGACAGACACAUGUUUUAUUUUACUAAACAUAUAAAUAUAUAUAUAUUAUAUCAGAUUUUGAAUUAUUUCUUCUAGAAUGGUGUUUUUCUAUGCAUUCUACAAACUAGUUUUCUUUAAACAAAGCUCUAAAAUACCUUGUGAAAUAUAAUUUUAGCUUUUAAAUUACAUUCUGUAGUACAUUGUAGUUGCAAAGGGAGAUAAGAUCAAUAUGUAAUAGCUUCAAAGAUAUGAAAAAAAUAUAUGUUAUAUUUUACUAGAUUUUUGCACAUGAUCUCCUGAUAUGUUCUGAAUUUGAUCAUAGGUAAAUUUUUUUAUUGUUCAUGUAUCAUUAUGAAUUGGGUUUUUUCUUAUUUUUGUAUGAACUAUUCUGAUCAUUCAUAAAGUCAAAUAGACAAUACCAAACUUUGAUAAAAAAUGAUAUGCAAUGCAGUAUAUAUGCUAUAAAUCUAUUAAUUAAUGAUUUUUUUCUUCUAGAAUGGACAUAUAUGGAACUGUAACACAGAGAAGCUGACUUGAAAGAAAUAUACUUAGUAUUUUGUGUGCUGAUAGAGAAUGACAGUCACAGACUUUUAUAAAUGUUGUAAUUCAAACAAUUACAAAAACAUGUAUCAUACACACAGGAAAUAAACAUAUAUAAUUUUUACUUGUGUUUUUUUAAGUCAAUCUUAAAAAUCAAUCUAUGGAGAAAGGUCAUAGUCAAAAACUAGUAAAUUUUGA